GGUCCGUUGGUGUAAUGGUCAACGCUACUUAGCUGAUCGCCUGUCGUGUUGAGAUGCGGCCGGCUGUCCAGUAUAGAAGUUACCGGUUCGAAUCCGGUACGCGCCA
rnacentral:tRNA from 1 species